UACGUAGGGUGCAAGCGUUGUCCGGAAUUAUUGGGCGUAAAGAGCUCGUAGGCGGUUUGUCGCGUCGGAUGUGAAAUCCCGGGGCUCAACCCCGGGUCUGCAUUCGAUACGGGCAGGCUAGAGUUCGGUAGGGGAGUCUGGAAUUCCUGGUGUAGCGGUGAAAUGCGCAGAUAUCAGGAGGAACACCGGUGGCGAAGGCGGGACUCUGGGCCGAUACUGACGCUGAGGAGCGAAAGCGUGGGGAGCAAACAGG
rnacentral:rRNA from 1 species